AUUGAACGCUGGCGGCAGGCCUAACACAUGCAAGUCGAGCGAGCGGCGGACGGGUGAGUAAUGUCUGGGAAACUGCCUGAUGGAAGGGGAUAACUACUGGAAACGGUAGCUACUACCGCAUACCAUCAGAUGUGCCCAGAUGGGAUUAGCUAGUAGGUGGGGUAACGGCUCACCUAGGCGACGAUCCCUAGCUGGUCUGAGAGGAUGACCAGCCAAAAUGGAACUGAGACACGGUCCAGACCGCUACGGGUGUCAAUAAGGGGCAGAAUGGCAGAUUGUGCUCAAGCCUGCUGUAGCGAUGCCGCGUGUGUGAGGAUGGCUUUCGGGUAGGAAAGCACUUUCAGCGGGGAGGCGUUACCCGCAUAAGAAGCACCGGCUAACUCCGUGAUAGGAGCCGGGGGAAUUCC
rnacentral:rRNA from 1 species